rnacentral:rRNA from 1 species
UACGGAUGGUGCAAGCGUUAAUCGGAAUUACUGGGCGUAAAGCGCGCGUAGGUGGCACACCAAGUUAGAUGUGAAAUCCCAGGGCUUAACCUUGGAACUGCAUCUAAAACUGGUGAGCUAGAGUAUUAGAGAGGAAAGUAGAAUUCUUAGUGUAGCGGUGGAAUGCGUAGAUAUUAAGAGGAAUACCAAUGGCGAAGGCAACUUUCUGGAUAAAUACUGACACUGAGGUGCGAAAGCGUGGGGAGCAAACAGG